rnacentral:rRNA from 1 species
UACGGGGGGGGCAAGCGUUGUUCGGAAUUACUGGGCGUAAAGGGCUCGUAGGUGGCCAACUAAGUCAGACGUGAAAUCCCCAGGCUCAACCUGGGAACUGCGUCUGAUACUGGAUGGCUUGAAUCCGGGAGAGGGAUGCAGAAUUCCAGGCGUAGCGGUGAAAUGCGUAGAUAUCUGGAGGAAUACCGGUGGCGAAGGCGGCAUCCUGGACCGGCAUUGACGCUGAGGAGCGAAAGCCAGGGGAGCAAACGGG